rnacentral:rRNA from 1 species
GAGUUUGAUCUUGGCUCAGAUUGAACGCUGGCGGCAUGCCUUACACAUGCAAGUCGAACGGCAGCACGGGAGCUUGCUCCUGGUGGCGAGUGGCGAACGGGUGAGUAAUGCAUCGGAACGUAUCCUGGAGUGGGGGAUAACGUAGCGAAAGUUACGCUAAUACCGCAUAUUCUGUGAGCAGGAAAGCGGGGGACCUUCGGGGCCUCGCGCUCUUGGAGCGGCCGAUGUCGGAUUAGCUAGUUGGUGAGGUAAAGGCUCACCAAGGCGACGAUCCGUAGCAGGUCUGAGAGGAUGAUCUGCCACACUGGAACUGAGACACGGUCCAGACUCCUACGGGAGGCAGCAGUGGGGAAUUUUUGGACAAUGGGGGCAACCCGUGAUCCAGCCAUGCCGCGUGAGUGAAGAAGGCCUUC